GUGGGGAAUUUUGGACAAUGGGGGCAACCCUGAUCCAGCCAUCCCGCGUGUGCGAUGAAGGCCUUCGGGUUGUAAAGCACUUUUGGCAGGGAAGAAAAGUUUCGGGCUAAUACCCUGGAGCGAUGACGGUACCUGCAGAAUAAGCACCGGCUAACUACGUGCCAGCAGCCGCGGUAAUACGUAGGGUGCAAGCGUUAAUCGGAAUUACUGGGCGUAAAGCGUGCGCAGGCGGUUCGGAAAGAAAGAUGUGAAAUCCCAGGGCUUAACCUUGGAGAUUCAUUUUUAACUGUCGAAAUCGAGUAUGUCAGAGGGGGGUAGAAUUCCACGUGUAGCAGUGAAAUGCGUAGAGAUGUGGAGGAAUACCGAUGGCGAAGGCAGCCCCCUGGGAUAAUACUGACGCUCAUGCACGAAAGCGUGGGGAGCAAACAGGAUUAGAUACCCCAGUAGUCC
rnacentral:rRNA from 1 species